CAGAACAGCCUAGACACUGAGUUAACAGGUAGGGCCUGGGGAGGGAGAGAUAGACAGAACAGCCUAGACAAUGAGUUAACAGGUAGGGCCUGGGGAGGGAGAGAUAGACAGAACAGCCUAGACACUGAGUUAACAGGUAGGGCCUGGGGAGGGAGACAUUGACAGAACAGCCUAGACACUGAGUUAACAGGUAGGGCCUGGGGAGGGAGAGAUAGACAGAACAGCCUAGACACUGAGCUAACAGGUAGGGCCUGGGGAGGGAGAGAUAGACAGAACAGCCUAGACACUGAGCUAACAGGUAGGGCCUGGGGAGGGGAGAGAUAGACAGAACAGCCUAGACACUGAGCUAACAGGUAGGGCCUGGGGAGGGGAGAGAUAGACAGAACAGCCUAGACACUGAGUUAACAGGUAGGGCCUGGGGAGGGGAGAGAUAGACAGAACAGCCUAGACACUGAGUUAACAGGUAGGGCCUGGGGAGGGAGAGAGAGACAGAACAGCCUAGACUGAGUUAACAGGUAGGGCCUGGGGGGGGAGAGAUAGACAGAACAGCCUAGAUACUGAGUUAACAGGUAGGGCCUGGGGAGGGAGAGAUAGACAGAACAGCCUAGACACUGAGUUAACAGGUAGGGCCUGGGGAGGGAGAGAUAGACAGAACAGCCUAGACACUGAGCUAACAGGUAGGGCCUGGGGAGGGAGAGAUAGACAGAACAGCCUAGACACUGAGCUAACAGGUAGGGCCUGGGGAGGGGAGAGAUAGACAGAACAGCCUAGACACUGAGCUAACAGGUAGGGCCUGGGGAGGGGAGAGAUAGACAGAACAGCCUAGACACUGAGUUAACAGGUAGGGCCUGGGGAGGGGAGAGAUAGACAGAACAGCCUAGACACUGAGCUAACAGGUAGGGCCUGGGGAGGGGAGAGAUAGACAGAACAGCCUAGACACUGAGUUAACAGGUAGGGCCUGGGGAGGGGAGAGAUAGACAGAACAGCCUAGACACUGAGUUAACAGGUAGGGCCUGGGGAGGGGAGAGAUACACAGAACAGCCUAGACACUGAGUUAACAGGUAGGGCCUGGGG